rnacentral:pre_miRNA from 1 species
AACCAUUUCUUCCGUUUCCCCCACACCCCUUUCCAAAAAUAUGGCAUUAUUGAGCCAUAUUUUUGGAAAGGGGUGUGGGGGAAACCGUAGAAAUGGU